GACGAACGCUGGCGGCGUGCCUAAUACAUGCAAGUCGAGCGAGUCUGCCUUGAAGAUCGGAGUGCUUGCACUCUGUGAAACAAGAUACAGGCUAGCGGCGGACGGGUGAGUAACACGUGGGUAACCUGCCCAAGAGAUCGGGAUAACACCUGGAAACAGAUGCUAAUACCGGAUAACAACAGAUGAUGCCUAUCAACUGUUUAAAAGAUGGUUCUGCUAUCACUCUUGGAUGGACCUGCGGUGCAUUAGCUAGUUGGUAGGGUAACGGCCUACCAAGGCGAUGAUGCAUAGCCGAGUUGAGAGACUGAUCGGCCACAUUGGGACUGAGACACGGUCCAAACUCCUACGGGAGGCAGCAGUAGGGAAUCUUCCACAAUGGACGCAAGUCUGAUGGAGCAACGCCGCGUGAGUGAAGAAGGGUUUCGGCUCGUAAAGCUCUGUUGUUGGUGAAGAAGGACAGGGGUAGUAACUGACCUUUGUUUGACGGUAAUCAAUUAGAAAGUCACGGCUAACUACGUG
rnacentral:rRNA from 1 species